rnacentral:rRNA from 1 species
CCUACGGGAGGAAGCAGUGAGGAAUAUUGGACAAUGGGCGCAAGCCUGAUCCAGCCAUGCCGCGUGCAGGAAGACGGUCCUAUGGAUUGUAAACUGCUUUUAUACAGGAAGAAACACCUCUACGUGUAGAGACUUGACGGUACUGUAUGAAUAAGCAUCGGCUAACUCCGUGCCAGCAGCCGCGGUAAUACGGAGGAUGCAAGCGUUAUCCGGAAUCAUUGGGUUUAAAGGGUCCGUAGGCGGUUUAAUAAGUCAGUGGUGAAAGCCCAUCGCUCAACGAUGGAACGGCCAUUGAUACUGUUAAACUUGAAUUAUUAGGAAGUAACUAGAAUAUGUAGUGUAGCGGUGAAAUGCUUAGAGAUUACAUGGAAUACCAAUUGCGAAGGCAGGUUACUACUAAUAUAUUGACGCUGAUGGACGAAAGCGUGGGGAGCGAACAGGAUUAGAUACCCUGGUAGUCCACGCCGUAAACGAUGGAUACUAGCUGUUCGGAGCAAUCUGAGUGGCUAAGCGAAGGUGAUAAGUAUCCCACCUGGGGAGUACGUUCGCAAGAAUGAAAACUCAAAGUAGUAGUACGGACGAGAGAGAGCGACGACGACGACGACGGAGGGAGGAG